UAGAAAAUUUUUUGAGUUUUGAGUCCUUUUGUGAAAUUUUCUUUCUCCGACCAAAGCAGCCCCUCUGGCCUCUCAACGUCCAAAGCAGCCACACCUUAACCCUGACCCUCUUCUUCGACCAUCUCUGAUUCUCGAAUCCCAGUUUCCAUGGCGGCGAUCACAAGGAAUCCCACCGCUCUUCUUCUUCUUCCCCUCCAUUCUCCUCUUCGACAGUUUCAUCACUUCACUUCUUCCUCUUCGAUCACUCCCAGCUCCACCGCCGUCAGAUUCUCUCACUUCAACCUCACCAACAAGCCUUCCAAUCGUCAAAUCCUCCCUCUGGUCAAGGCCACCCAAGGCUCUCACGAUUAUGUGCCUGAUUCCAAAUUCUACAAAGUGGAGGCCAUCCUUAGUUGAUAGCUACCGAUCGGCACCGGCGAUUAGAGAAGAAGCAGCAGAAAAAAAAGAGUAACAAAGUUAUGAGAAGCAUUCAAGUGAAUCUGGCUUGGCAACUACCGGCAAGAAAAUCAAUAUAAAGAGUGCUGAUAUGUUUGGUGAUGCGCAGGAGGCUAUCGAUGUCGCCAUAAUUCGUAGAGAAGGAUAUAGCAGAGUGUAUUGACCAGCCUGGCACUGCAUUGUUGGCCAAAAAUUUGAUUUCAAAGAGUUGAGGAUAACAUCCGGUGAGACUUUGACUUUGGAGUUAUCUAAGAGUGUUGUGGUGCUUGGAGGAGAGUGUUGUUUCUCUUUCUUAUUAUUACAUAUACUUUAUGUUUUAUGAUUAAGGAUCAUAACUCAUAUUUUGUUAUCAAGUAUAUUGUGUUCAAAUGACUUUCAUUCAUGAAGUUGUUAGUGUUGUAAUAUUGAAAGUAUUUAUAUAGAAUUGUAAUUUUGGAAUUAUUCAUA